AUGAUAACCAUGAGGUGGAAGACGAGCUGGGACCGCAGCGUCACCACCGGUGUGGCUGGAAUCUGUAUCCCACUCCUGGGCCUUCUCCCGGGUCGGGGUCUUCUCCAGGGUUGGGGUCAGAGUCAUCUCUGUGAGCUCCAUCAGGAGAAACUGAGGCAGGGUGGUGGUCAAAAAAAGGAGGAGAAGACGGUAGAGAGGGCCAGGCACGGUGGCUCAUGCCUGUCAUCCCAGCACUUUGGGAGGUUGAGGCAUGUGGAUCAUCUGAGGUCAGAGGUUCGAGACCAGCCUGGCCAACGUGGUGAAACCCCAUCUCUGCUAAAAAUGCAAAAAAUUAGCUGGGCGUGGUGGUGUACGCCUGAAAUCCCAGUGACUCGGGAGGCUGGGGCAGGAGAACGGCUUGAACCCAGGGGGCGGAGGUUGCCGUGAGCCGAGAUCGCACCACCGCACUCUAGCCUGGCUGACAGAGUGAGACUCCAUCUCAAAAGAAAAAGAAGGUAGAGAGGAGAGGCGGAAAUAGAGACAAGAGACAGAGGCAGAGAAAGAUGGAGGGAGAGAGAUGGAGGAGAGAGAGAGGAAUGUAGAAGAGAAUGAGAAGAAGACACAAAGGAGAGGGAAACAAACAGGCAGACAGACUGACAGAAACAAAGGCAGACACACAGACAGAGAAACAGAGAGAGGGAGGGAGAAAAGAGAGAAGGAAAGAGAGAGAGACACACACAGAGAGCAAGACUGACCUACAAAGAGAAAAAGACAAUCAGAGAGACACAGAUGGAGAAACAGAGACAGAUAAACAACAAACAUAAAGACCCAGGCGGGGGCCGGUCGCGGUGACUCACAUCUGUCAUCCCAGCACUUUGGGAGGCCAAGGCAGGUGGAUCACUUGAGGUCGGGAGUUCGAGACCAGCCUGACCAACCUGAAGAAACCUCGUCUCUACUAAAAUUACAAAAAUUAGCCAGGUGUGAUGGCGCACACCUGUAAUCCCACCUACUCUGGAGGCUGAGGCAGGAGAAUCACUUGAACCCAGGAGGCGGAGGCUGCAGUGAGCCGAGAUCGCACCAUUGCAUUCUAACCUGGGCAACAAGAGCAAAACUCUCUAUCAAAAACAAAACAAAACAAAAAAUCAUCCCCAGCAGGGAGAGGAGAGAGACAGAGAGGAACAGAGGCAAAGAGAGGGGAGAGAGACAAAGACACAGAGACACAGAGAAAGACACAGACAGAAAAAGAGAGAGAGAGAGGGAGAAGGAGACAUAGAGACAGGGACAAAGAGAAAAGACAGAGAAACAGAGAGACAUAGGUGGACACGGACAGGGGAGAGAGAGAGAGAGACAGAGACAGAGACCAAGGGAUGAGAGUGGAAGAGAGACAGAUAGAGGAAAAAGACAGAGAGGGAGGCAGAGAAAAGAGACACAGAGAGACCGAGAGAGACAGGGAAGACAGAGGAGUCGGACUUAGUCUCAGCGAGAGCCCAGAGAGGGUGAACAAGGGCGAGAAACCAUGUGACCUCCACCCUGAGACCCCAGUGGCGCUCCUCUCCCACCCACCUCUCUCCGGCUCAGGGACUGCGUCUUAUGUUGCAGUAGGCUGGCAGGCUGGAAAGUCAGGCCAGGGCUGAUGCUCAUCCCAGAGGCAGAACCGUCCUGCAUUCUCAGAGUGGGAGAUGAAAUUUUUAAAAAGGAAAUAAAACUCUUGUACGGGGAACCUCAGCUUUUAUCCUUUAGACCUUUGACUGAUUAGAUGAGGCCCACUCUUCUCCUUUACACCUUCAGCUGAUUAAAUGAGGCCCACUCUUCCCCCUUUAGACCUUCGACGGAUUAGAUGAGGCCCACCCUUCCCCCUUUAGACCUUCGACUGAUUAGAUGCGGCCCACCCUUCCCCUAUAUACCUUCCACGGAUUAGCUGAGGCCCACCCUUCCCUAUAUACCUUCCACUGAUUAGAUGAGGCCCACCCUUCCCCCUUUAGACUUUUGACUGAUCAGAUGAGGCCCACCCUUCCCCCUUUAGAUCUUGGAUGGAUUCGAUGAGACCCACCCUUCCCCUUUGGACCUUCAGCUGAUUAGAUGAAGCCCAGCCUUCCCCUUUAGGCCUUCAACUCAUGAAUUAGAUAAAGCCCACUCUUCCUCUUUACACUUUCAACUGAUUAGACGAGGCCCACUCUACCCAUUUACACCUUUGACUGAUUAGAUGAAACCCGCCAUUCCCCUUUAGACCUUCGACUGAUUAGAUAAGGCCCACCCUUCCCCUUUAGACCUUCAGCUUAUUAGAUAAGGCCCACCCUUACCCUUUAGACUUUCAACUGAUUAAAUGAGGCCCACUUUCCCCGUUUAGACCUUUGACUGAUUAGAUGAAGCCCACCUUUCCCUUUUAGGACCUUUGACUGAUUAGAUGAGGCCUACCCUUCUCCCUUUAGACCUUUGACUGAUUAGAUGGGACCCACCCUUCCCAUUUAGACCUUCAACUCAUUACAUGAAGCCCACCCUUCCCCGCUUCCCCUUUAGACAUCCGGCUUAUUAAUUAGACAAGGCCCACCCCCUUUAGACCUUCGACUGAUUAGAUGAGGCCGACCCUUCCCUAUAUGCCUUCCACUGAUUAGAUGAGGCCCACCCUUCCCCUAUAGACCUUCCACUGAUUAGAUGAGGCAGCUUAUUAAUUACACAAAGCCCACCACCUUCAGACCUUCAACUGAUUAGAUGAGGCCCACCCCCUUUAGACCUUUGACUGAUUAGAUAAGGCCCACCCACAUUCUCCAGUCCAAUUUCUUUUCCUGGAAAUCAGCUGAUUGUGGACUUGACAGCUACAAAGCCCCUUCGUACCAGCCGCUGAGUCAUGGUUCGAUUCAAUAACUGGGGACUGUAGCCUAGUCACGGGGACACGUCAGUGGUGCCGGGUAUCAGAGACGAAGGCCAAGAGAUGAAAGAGAAACAGAGACUGAACCCAAAAGAGGCAGACACACAGGAAGAUGGAGAUAGAGACCCAGAGAUGGGGGUGGAAGAAGGUGAGAGGGGGAGGAAAGAGAGACAGAGAGGGAGACAGAAAAGAGGCAGAGAGACCAAGAGAGAGGCUGAACAGCAAGACCCCAGAGAGGGUGACUAAGGGUGAGAGACUUGCGUGACCCACAUCCCAAGACCCCGUGGGUGGCCCUCUCCCACUCAACUCUCUCCAGCUCAGGGGCUGUGUCUUCCUCCCAUGGGGAACUCCAGUUCGAGCCCAGGGUUGCCCCCACCGCCCUCUUCCCUGCCACAUAGGUAACAUCCUCCUGGUUGCCACUUGCACACCCCCAUCCUAGACCCGGCCAUCUGUCAUUCCGUUACCUUCCACCCCAACGCCAGCCUCCUCCCCGGCCCCCGCUUUCCACUGACCCCCAGGGGUCCCCCACAUCGAGGUGCCAGGAUGAUGGCUUCAGGCUUCAACCUUCCCUUCUCUGAGCUCCGUCAGCUCCAGGGGCUUAGCACCUGCUGUACCCUGCCCUGGUUUCAUGCUCACAAGCUCUUCCAAAGACCACCCUGUUCAUCGUCAACUAUGAGGUCCCAUGGGUGGAUCUGUCUCAGAUCUUUACCCCAGGAAAAAUUCCUGGCCAGGUGCAGUGGCUCACGCCUGUCAUCCCAGCUUUUUGGGAGGCCGAGGCGAGUGGAUCACCUCGAUGUCAGGAGUUUGAGACCAGCCUGGCCAACAUGGUAAAACCCCAUCUCCACUGAAAGUACAAAAUUUAGCUGGUGGCGGCUAAAGGGGGAAGGGUGGGCCUCAUCUAAUCAGUCGAAGGUAUAUAGGGGAAGGUUGGGCCU
rnacentral:lncRNA from 1 species